rnacentral:rRNA from 1 species
AGUGAACGCUGGCGGCAUGCCUAACACAUGCAAGUCGAACGGUAACAGGCCCGCAAGGGUGCUGACGAGUGGCGGACGGGUGAGGAAUACAUCGGAAUUUGCCCAGUCGUGGGGGAUAACGUAGGGAAACUUACGCUAAUACCGCAUACGACCUAACGGUGAAAGCGGGGGAUCGCAAGACCUCGCGCGGAUGGAUAAGCCGAUGUCGGAUUAGCUAGUUGGCGGGGUAAAGGCCCACCAAGGCGACGAUCCGUAGCUGGUCUGAGAGGA